rnacentral:rRNA from 1 species
CCUACGGGAGGCAGCAGUGGGGAAUAUUGGACAAUGGGCGAAAGCCUGAUCCAGCAAUGCCGCGUGAGUGAUGAAGGCCUUCGGGUCGUAAAGCUCUUUUACCAGGGAUGAUAAUGACAGUACCUGGAGAAUAAGCUCCGGCUAACUCCGUGCCAGCAGCCGCGGUAAUACGGAGGGAGCUAGCGUUGUUCGGAAUUACUGGGCGUAAAGAGUACGUAGGCGGUUAUUCAAGUCAGAGGUGAAAGCCCGGGGCUCAACCCCGGAACUGCCUUUGAAACUAGAUAACUAGAGUCUUGGAGAGGUUAGUGGAAUUCCGAGUGUAGAGGUGAAAUUCGUAGAUAUUCGGAAGAACACCAGUGGCGAAGGCGACUAACUGGACAAGUACUGACGCUGAGGUACGAAAGCGUGGGGAGCAAACAGGAUUAGAUACCCUGGUAGUCCACGCCGUAAACGAUGAUAACUAGUUGUUCGGUCACUUGGUGACUGAGUGACGCAGCUAACGCAUUAAGUUAUCCGCCUGGGGAGUACGGUCGCAAGAUUAAAACUCAAAGAUUAGACGGCGNGNGAGNGCGACGACGACGACGAGGAGGAG